rnacentral:rRNA from 1 species
CUCCAAUAGCGUAUAUUAAAGUUGCUGCAGUUAAAAAGCUCGUAGUUGAAUUUCGGGAUCAAUAUGUUGGUCGUGCCUUGGUACGUACUAGCUUAUUGAUUUCUCCUUUCUGACGAACCAUGAUGUCAUUAAUUUGGUGUCGUGGGAAAUCAGGACUGUUACUUUGAAAAAAUUAGAGUGUUUAAAGCAGGCUCACGCUUGAAUACAUUAGCAUGGAAUAAUGAAAUAGGACGUUUGAUUCUAUUUUGUUGGUUUCUAGGAUCGACGUAAUGAUUAAUAGGGAUAGUUGGGGGUAUUAGUAUUCAAUUGUCAGAGGUGAAAUUCUUGGAUUUAUUGAAGACUAACUACUGCGAAAGCAUUUGCCAAGGAUGUUUUCAUUAAUCAAGAACGAAAGUUAGGGGAUCGAAGACGAUCAGAUACCGUCGUAGUCUUAACCAUAAACUAUGCCGACUAGGGA